rnacentral:rRNA from 1 species
UAGGGAAUCUUCCGCAAUGGACGCAAGUCUGACGGAGCAACGCCGCGUGAGUGAAGAAGGAUUUCGGUUCGUAAAACUCUGUUGUUAGAGAAGCACAGCGCAUAGAGUAACUGUUAUGCGUGUGACGGUAUCUAACCAGAAAGCCACGGCUAACUACGUGCCAGCAGCCGCGGUAAUACGUAGGUGGCAAGCGUUGUCCGGAUUUAUUGGGCGUAAAGCGAGCGCAGGCGGUCAAUUAAGUCUGAUGUGAAAGCCCCCGGCUCAACCGGGGAGGGUCAUUGGAAACUGGUUUACUUGAGUGCAGAAGAGGAGAGUCGAAUUCAAUGUGUAGCGGUGAAAUGCGUAGAUAUAUGGAGGAACACCAGUGGCGAAGGCGACUCUCUGGUCUGUAACUGACGCUGAGGCUCGAAAGCGUGGGUAGCAAACAGG